AGAAACUUAGGAUAAACAAACCAAGAGCCUUCAAAGCCCAAAAUAUGAACUAACCAUCAUAGUUUCU
rnacentral:tRNA from 1 species